rnacentral:rRNA from 1 species
AGAGCGAACGCUGGCGGCAGGCCUAACACAUGCAAGUCGAGCGCCCCGCAAGGGGAGCGGCAGACGGGAGAGUAACACGUGGGAACGUACCCUUUGGUUCGGAACAACACAGGGAAACUUGUGCUAAUACCGGAUAAGCCCUUACGGGGAAAGAUUUAUUGCCAAAGGAUCGGCCCGCGUCUGAUUAGCUUGUUGGUGAGGUAACGGCUCACCAAGGCUACGAUCAGUAGCUGGUCUGAGAGGAUGAUCAGCCUCACUGGGACUGAGACACGGCCCAGACUCCUACGGGAGGCAGCAGUGGGGAAUAUUGGACAAUGGGCGCAAGCCUGAUCCAGCCAUGCCGCGUGGAUGAUGAAGGCCCUAGGGUUGUAAAGUCCUUUCGACGGGGAAGAUAAUGACGGUACCCGUAGAAGAAGCCCCGGCUAACGUUCGUGCCCAGCAGCCGC